AACACUAGUGAUUUGCUUUUGCAAAGAAAAGCUUGUAUGAGUGUGUGAUUGCCGGUGAAGAAUUUUGUACUUACGUUUUUUGAAUAUAUUGAGGUUUGGAUUAUUAAAUAGAUCAGUAAUUAAUUUUAUGAUGUAAGUUGAUACUAAGUUAGAAGUAAGUUCAACGAUUGCUGAAUUUCUGUUAGUGUUUGUAUGCGAUGAGGAUUUCGGUGACAUGAAGUUUUUAAGAAUCAAGAAAUCAAUAUGGCUCUUGAAAUCGGGAAAUGCAGACUAUGCCUCAAAUUGGGCGAUUUUUACUCCAUCUUCACAGUGGACAAUGGGGUCCAACUGGCGGAGAUGGUUAUGGAAUGCUCUCGGGUGAAGAUAUAUGAAGGGGAUGGACUACCAGACAAAGCAUGCGCGGAAUGCAUACAGAAACUCAGCGGCGCAUAUAUUUUCAAACAGCAAUGCGAGAGAGCGGAUCAGGAUCUGCGUCGAAAUUAUGUUCCACCACCAGGUUUCGGGCUGUCACCAAACCGUCAGAGCAGCGACUCCGCCUUCUCCACCCACACGGAAUAUUCAAAUGUGAACAAAUCAGUAUCCACCGAAGGGAAAGUAACACCUGCGAGUACCGACCGCAAGCGAAGAACCGGUUGCGAUAUCAACGACGAACGCCACGACUACCGCACUAAUAACAAACGCGAAAGCGUUACGAGGCCAAACAAAAAACCAAAAUACAUGAACAAUUCCAUUGACUCUGAUGACGAUGACAACGGCGGCAGCCUCACAGCUGAGAGUGUUUGCACAGAACCUAACGAAAUAACCCCAAAGAAUGAGUUCAAAUGCACCAAAUGCUCCAAAGAAUUUAAGACAGUUUACGGUUUAAACAACCACAUGAGAACUCACCGUCUGGACAAAGAGGGCACUGUGACCCCGACCAGCACGGCGCGGGGACACAGCAUCGAAAGCGACAAUGCCUCAUCAAGUAGUAGGCAAGAUUAUCCAGGCAGCACCAAACGUGUCAAUGAACUCAGAAGAUUAGGUAAAACAGCAAAGUGUAACACAAAGGAUUCAUCAAUUGACUCGGACGAUGACGACAAUGGCGAUUCCAGUUUCAAAAGUGAAACUGCCGGCACUGAUUCUGACGACUCAGCUGCGAAAAAAUUGUACAAAUGCCAGAAGUGUCCUAAUGAAUACACUUCGUACCGGGCCUUGAAUUCUCACAUGAGGUUUCACAAACGUGAUAGUGUAAAAGAAGAACUUGCGGGAAAUACAGCACCGACACCAAACGUUCCAGAAGUACCCGACGAUGAUGACCUUAGCUGUAUAAAGUGCGGCAAAACUUAUAAAUUGAAGAUAAUGUUGAAGCGUCACCAGCAGAUCUGCAAGGUGACGCCACAGAAGCAACAACCACCAGAGAAGCAGCAAACACCGCUAAAACAAAAAACGCCACAAAAGCAGUCAACAUUACAAAAUCAACAACCACAGACUGUGACGCCCCUUAAGCUACAGAAUAUGCAACAGAAGCAAUCAGUGACGUUGGAGUCGCCGCAGAAACAGUUGCUUGUGUGUCUCGAACCCGUCGACGGCAAGCACAAUGUGAAGGUGGAGUGUGAUAUUUGUUCCUCAAAGUUCAAAACUUUGGAAAACUUGAACAAACAUUUAAGGGUUGUUCACGCAGCCGCGCCUAAAAGAUAUUCUGCUCGCGCAGCCGGCACGGUCUCCGUUACUUGUAUCUAUUGCCGCGAGACUUUCGACGACUAUUACGUACACAAUGCGCACUUUAACACGUGCCCCAAGAAGGACAGUCGGGAAACUUUCAAGUGCCCUCUCUGUCUGGUGGUGUCGUUUAAGAAGUUGGCGUACUUCGCGCACAUAAAAAACAAUCACUUCGAGCCGGAAACACGCUCGCAGGCGAACUCUAAGGAGGAGGAUCUGAAAUGUAGGUUCUGUAACAAGCAGCUCGCAACCCAGCAACUGCUGAUCACGCAUUUAGCGGCGCACAUGUCCAACAUCGAUGAUGCAGCUGCCAGCGACGAAAACAGAACCGUAGUGACGCCUAACACAUCGACACCUGACACAUCAAAAAACACAUUAAAUUGCGUACAUUGCAAAAAAGAGUUUAAAUAUAAACGUUCAUUGAUGAACCACGAAUUGUCGUGCGUGAAACGGGAUGACGAACCGGACGGGAAAGAGGAAGAAGAGGAAGAGAAUGCGAACGAAGCAGAAUCCAGUCAGGACGAGGCGGACGACAAUACAUGCGACAUCUGUGAGAAGCAGUUUUCUUACAAGGCGUUGUUGUUGCACCACAAGCGAACUAAACACACCAUGUGUGCGGGGUUUAAGAGAGCUAGUAUCACUCUCAAAGACUGCGCCGUGAAAUGCAUGAUUUGCGAUAUAGACAUGAAGGUAAAGGACAUACACGCGCAUAAUAAGGAGCAUAUAUCGAUGAACAUGAAGCCGCGCAAUAUUUAUACAUGCGGCGAAUGCGGAGAAUUCUUCAAGAACUUAAGCGCGCUAUCCACUCACAUCAAAUUUGUGCACAGAUUAAAACAGGAGUCCCCUAAUGCAAAAAAGUACCAAGGUAUUGACCCUUCUGCGUUCUGCGAAGUCGUAGUAGCGAAGACUGAGCCCCAGGAAUGGCCGCAGGGUGACUACAGUCCUAUGCCAGAUGGUGUAGUUAAGAUCGAAGGCCAGGCCAAUGUCGAGCCUACUGCGUUUGUAUGCCCCACUUGCGGCAAGAAUAUGCCUUCAGCUACGUCUCUGAAGUGUCACAUGGCCUGCCACGUGCGUUAUGAUAAAGCAGCCAGUGGGAAACUGGAAUGCUUCGUCUGUAAAGAGACAUUCAGGUUUCAAGUGCACUACAAGAUGCACAUGCGCGUGCACUACAACGACACUAACCUGGACCCGAAGGUUCUCACGUGCUCCAUCUGCAACCGCAAGAGCAAGAACCUCCGCGCCGCCCGCGCACAUAUGGCCUUCCACAAGCAAACUCGUUUCCAGAACAAAGACUAUCAAUGCUCAUUGUGUAAAAAAGUAUUUCAGAAUCGGAGAGUGUACCUCUACCAUAUGUCUAUACAUCAAAAAAGGGGAGACAGUGCAGGACUCGGGCCGGGAAUACCCAAAGACGGCGAUAAGAGCGUGGCUGACGGCACGCAUACUUGUGAGCUAUGCGGAAAGGUGUGCGACUCGGAAGUUUCGCUUAAACACCACAUUAUAUGGCACAAGUCGAAGGGGUCGCUGUACGGCGCGCGACACGAGUGCAAUAUCUGUAACGUGCAGUUUACCAACAAGCGAACGCUCACCAUACACAUACGCACGCAUUACGAGAACGACAACGGCCCUUACAAAUGCCACCUCUGCGAAAAAGGUUUUACAGACGAAGAUUUCUACCGUAGACAUUUGAAGUCGCACAAUUUCGACCACACAUCCCACAAGAAGCGUAUUGAGAGACUACGGAAAGAUCAAGUUAAAUGUCCCAUCUGCUCGCGGUAUUAUCCAGAUUUGGUGAAGCUCAUUCGACAUCUAAAACGAACACAUCCCGAGAGCAAAAUGGUGAAAGCGGAUCCAGAUGCGCCACCGCAAAGAUAUUAUCCAUGUCAGCUGUGUGCUAAAGUAUUUAUGGAUGAACGACGACUGCAGUUCCAUAAGGAGGCUCAUCUGAGAAAACCAAUAUUGUACAAAUGUAAGUUCUGCGGUAAAAAGGCAAUGUCACUAAAGUCUCAUAGACUUCAUAUAAAAGCUCAUUUGGCUUCGAAGCACAUUGACGAGCCGUUAAAGUGUCCUCACUGUAGUGAAACCUUUGUAAAGGGCUACGGUCUGCAUCACCAUCUGCGUGACGAGCAUGGCAUCAACGAGACAUGGAUUGCCGAUAGAACAGAAGAGGAUCUCAAUGGACCACUCAAAGACCUUCAAUGUUCCGUGUGCCAUAAAAUAUUAGCUAGUAAAGGCAAUUUCCAGCGACAUAUCGACUACCACAACUCGUUGAGAUGCAAUUACUGUUUCCAAUACUUUAGCUCGCUCAGAUUUCUCGAGGGUCAUCUAUCAUUCAUGUGCGAGAAAAAGAAAUUAGUGGGCGAUACGGAAGUUCACCCGAAGCGAGUGAAAUGUCACGUUUGUUACAAAGCAUUCCACUUACAAGUGAAACUGGAUUGUCACCUGCGGACGCAGCACGGCAUCGCCGUGACUAAAGAGGCGUCGGCCGGUAAGCAGGAGAUCGUUUGCGAUUAUUGUUUCAAAGUGUUCGAAAACGAAUACGCGUUGAGCACGCACAAAAUUUACCACAGAACCAUCGGCUAUUAUGGAUGUAGGUAUUGCCCGAAAAAAUUCAACACAUUGACACUUUAUAGGAGACAUAAAACUACUCAUCUAUAUGUGUUGAAUGUCGACAAUCCCACAAAAUGUGAUCAUUGCGAUGAAAGGUUUGUCGCGUUCAGAGACAUGAUCACGCACAUGAAGGACGAACACGGCGACGACAGCGAAUGGAUCGUGAUGCCUAAGGACUCCAUCGAGGAGAAAUGCGGUAUUUGUAACAAAACUUUCUUCAAUUUGCACAAACAUUUGUCUUACCAUGAAGAGAAUAAAUGCAAGAAAUGUGGGGAAUAUUUCUACUCCGUGGUAGACUUUGAUAACCACCUUUGCGCUAUAGAGAGCGACGACGAAGAAAACACAAAUUAUAAUAACGGUAAUAAUGCCAAGUACGAAGAAUGCAACUUCUGUUUUAAGCCUAUCACGAGCACUAACUCUAAGUUAAAACACGAUAAAAUACACAAGGGCUCCGGGUCGAUAUCGUGUCGCUUCUGCCGCCUCAAAUUUAAAACCAUAGACGCAUUUAACAUACAUGCUUUCACCCACCGAAGUAGUAAGUAUAAUAAGAAGCCAAUUAAAUGUCGUCAAUGCGGCGAGAAAUUCGUCAAAUACGGACCUUUCAUAAAGCACAUGCGUAACGUGCACAAGUCCGCUUUAAAAAUACAUUAUCGUGCGACUGUGAAGCCCGAGCGAUGCGUCGUGUGCGGCGACGAAUUCCCAAACUUGCAUAAUCACUAUCGAGCACACCUUCUGAACCAAUGUCAGCAAUGCAGAAAAUAUUUUACUUCAUACAAAAUAUUCACAAUGCACGAAUGCGACAAAGAGGACAGUGAUCCGUCAAAAGUAUUCACUUGUAAUGAAGAUUUAGUGGCUCUCAUAAACUCCUAUGUGCCGAAAGAUGAGAAGGAUGAUGAGAAGUUGUACGGAGAAAGUGGUGACGAAGAUGACGGCCCAGAAGAGAAUGGGACGAAUGAAGAUAAUGAAGUGUACUCUCAAGAUGAAGACUCUGAUGUAAAGAAGUUCGACACAUUCAAGUCUCCCGUAAUAUCUGAUGUCCUCUCUCUGUAUCAGAAGGAGGAAGUGGCCAGCCAGGAUAGUGAGAGUAACAGUCAGGCAGAAGACAAAGACGUAUUUGUCAUAAGCAGUGACGAAGAAUCAGCAGAUGUCGAUCACCGCUCGCCAAUCAUGCUUGAUGACUGACUUGGAUGUUUUUUUUUUAGUCAUUUAUAAACUAAGCGCAAAUAUGUUCUUUUUUAAGCCCAUUCGCGUAUGAAAUGAGGCACUCGUCAAUCGCAUACUUUAAGUGUAGAUGAACCUCUCUAAGUUUUAUACGCUGGGAUCGAAAGCAAAAUUGAUACUUCUCGUGUCCUCGAAACGCGCGAACACGCUUUUCAGUUGUACUGAAAUGUGCAUUAACUCGAUUCAUUCAAACAUCAAAAUGCGAUAAUGCACAUGCUGCGAGCACGGCCAUUAUUUACUCUGUCAUUUGCGUCGCAAAAUGGUACAUUGGUUUUGUGAUAUUCAUGUAACAUCAAUAAUGUAUAUGAACAAAUUAGAUUUUUCAAGUAUAGGCUGAUUUUGUUUGUGUUUGAUUGUUUUGUGUUCUGAGUGUGCUAGUAUGCUGUAAAUAAUAAAAUGGUUAUUUUCAGCUUACUCCAUGCCUGAAUCUGAUUAGUCAAGGUAAAUGUAGACGAAAAUGUGUGACCAUAUUAUACAAUAGUCAUUUGUGUGAUUCUAAAUAUACUAUAUAUAAUAUACUUGGUAAAAAUAUAUUAAAAAUACUGAGAAUGUUUGUGUAGUUUAUCCCCGAAUCGUCAAAAGAAAAUAUAUUACACAUGUUGAAGUAACCAAUACAUUGUUUUGUAAAUAAGUCUAGAAACAAUUUUAUUAUAAUUAUUAUCCUAUUAAGAUAUUUUGGUACCUCUGUUUCUCCACAACUUGUAAGAUAUAGUUUUAGAUUAUUAUAUAAAAUUUAUCCCAAUCGUGCGUGAAAAUAUAUUGCUGUCGGUACCUCUGAUGGAUCUGAAUGACAAAUUGAAAUCACAGGUCGCAUAAAUAUUUUGAUGUUUAUUGUAUAAUCUAUUACCCACAAGUUGUAUUUUUAAGUGCACUGUACAAAAGUCGCGUCCUGUGAAAUAUAAAAGUCUUGAUUGACAAAUGUGAUUUUUAUGUUGACUUUACUAUAGAUAGUAGAGUGAAUUUCAUUGGUCAAUAAUUUAUUUCCAGUGACUUAAUCUAAAGUUGUUUAGUUUAAUAAGGGUACGAAAACGGCGAUGUUAGUAUGCAUUAAAGCUUUAAAGAUUAAGAAAUAUCUCGUAAGAUUAUAGUGUUUAUUGUAAAAAAAGAUACGAAUAUUAGGAUCCUCGGAUGGCAGGUUUAAUGUUUAUCAUUUUGUUAUUUUGCAUUUGUUUUGAACACCUGUGAUUGAAUUUGUUUCUGCCAACAAUUCGUUUGGAGACUGUUUAUAUUAUUUUGUUAUGACGUAUUAACUAUGGCCAUUACAGUCGUGCAGGAUGCAAGCAAUGCAGGACUUUUACUUGUCGAGAAAAAAAAAUCCGUAUGUAUGAUAUUGGAAGUAUAUGGUAUUCCAGGUCAGUACGGCUGUACGCGACUGAAGUUUGAUGCGAUCAGAAAUAUUUGAUUUUGAAUUAAUUAUUGAAUUUGGUACCUACGAUUAUUACUUAUAUAUUUUGGGCUCCUUUUCAUUACGAUAUUGUAUAUUGAAAAUAUAUUUGUUUUCCAAUUUAUCAUUCCAAUUUUGAUGUGUUUUGUUUCGGAGAGCCAUCUUAAGCCAAAGGUGUGUAGAAGAACAGCCCGCACGACAUUCACAUUGCAACAAUUUAUCAGACGAUGUAAAUACUUGAUUUCUAAUGAGUGAUUGAAUAUAAUAGCCCCUACAUGACAAAUAGAUGUACUAUUGGUUUAGAAUUAUUAAAUCUUCUUGGUUGAUGAUAUUUCACAAAUGUUUAAUUGAUAUGAAAUAACUUUGAUAAAUGAUAUUUCGUUUUUUUAUUAUAAAAAUAUAUUAUUAGAUAACUUCUAGUUAAAGAAGUGGUUAAUUAUUUUUUGUGUGACUACACGGCCAGAGUAUGUUGUUUUAUUUAUGAUAAUUAAUAAAUAUUGACUGAAAGUACAGUGUUUCGGCCAGUCGAGCACCAUGUAAGAAGCCAUUGAAUAAAAACGUUUAUUGACACUCAAUAAGAAAUUUCGCAAUAUUACAAUUCCCAAAAAUAUUCAAAUUUACAUCGUUUGGUGAAUGUCGUGCGGUACCUAGAGUUAGUAAUAAUUUUCUAUAAAUUUAAGUUGUGUAAUCGUUUUCUGAAUAUUAUAUGCGGUGAAUCGAUUGCUUGUAUGACAUAGCACAGUGAAAUUGUUUUAAUAAAAAAAUAAACUAUUUAAA
rnacentral:misc_RNA from 1 species